rnacentral:rRNA from 1 species
GACGAACGCUGGCGGCGUGCUUAACACAUGCAAGUCGAACGGAAAGGCCCUGCUUUUGUGGGGUGCUCGAGUGGCGAACGGGUGAGUAACACAUGAGUAACCUGCCCUUGACUUUGGGAUAACUUCAGGAAACUGGGGCUAAUACCGGAUAGGAGCUCCUGCUGCAUGGUGGGGGUUGGAAAGUUUCGGCGGUUGGGGAUGGACUCGCGGCUUAUCAGCUUGUUGGUGGGGUAGUGGCUUACCAAGGCUUUGACGGGUAGCCGGCCUGAGAGGGUGACCGGCCACAUUGGGACUGAGAUACGGCCCAGACUCCUACGGGAGGCAGCAGUGGGGAAUAUUGCACAAUGGGCGGAAGCCUGAUGCAGCAACGCCGCGUGCGGGAUGACGGCCUUCGGGUUGUAAACCGCUUUCGCCUGUGACGAAACGUGAGUGACGGUAAUGGGUAAAGAAGCACCGGCUAACUACGUG